GCAUCAUGGACAACCAAGCCAGCCCCCUUGGUUGGAGUCGGGAGUUCCCUUUGCUUCCCUAAGAAAUCUGCAGACUCGCAGACAGGGCCAACCACAUCAAAAGUCGAGAUCUCAGCACCAGGUGACGAAGGAGCAACCAACUCUAUGUGUUGAUAAGCAUCAUAAAGACUAGGGCGGAUAAGUUCAGCCAUGCUUCCAUCGAUAACAAUAAAGUUUUUAGUCCCAUUAGUUUUGACCCCUGUCACUCGAUUAACCAAACAGCAAGUAUUG
rnacentral:misc_RNA from 1 species